ACAUGGCCCAAAUGUACCAUUUUGAGUAACUUAAAUCUUCGGUUUCGUGUGGAUGAUCAGCCAAAACAUAUAAAAAUAUAUUUGUUUUAGCAGUUACCCGCCUACGUGUGGACAAGGCUUCAGUGUUCAAGGUACGUGUGGAUGAUUAUGAAUACGUGCUUUUUGCUACUUCCGCCACUUUCAAGUGUUUUGGUUGCGGUGCUGACGGGCAUUUGGUGAAAGCCCGUCCGGACCGCGCCGGUUCAGCCUCGGGGGGCGUGGCUGUGCUGCGACAGGUAGUGUGGUGGACGCUCAGCGUGAGCAGGGCGCUCAUCGUCUCCCGUGGACCUGCCGGAUGUGGGUGGGUCUGUGGUAGAUGCCGUUGCUAUGGCUGUGUCCAAAUUCAGGUGCUGCGACCUCCCGAGGCUGUGGCCUUCGCGAUCUCCGAUGUCCGGGUCCUUCGUUAGCGGGUAAGACCGGAUGUUAAGUACAGUGAAUUUGGACGGUCUAGCCUUCAUAAUUCCCGCCGUUAAUCGGCUAAUGUCCUGUAGCCUAGCUUGAAAUCCUGAGUUUAUCGCGUGUUUGGAACCAUGAUGGAGAUCAAAAUGAUUCUGUUUUAUCUCCUUUAACUGCUGCUUUUGGAGGAGUUGGAGCAAAUGUAUCGCCGUCGGAGAUAUUUGCUCCUUUUCCGGCUGAGACAAAACGAUGCGCAGGUACUGUAUUAAAAUAAAUGUAAAAAAAAAACAAAAAAAAAACAAGAAGCUAUUUUACUUAUUAGCUUUAGCUAGUUUAUUGGAUGUAUUUAUUUAGCAGCUACAUUACAGGUAAUAAACUAUACAAUUACUGACAAAAUUGUGUGGGUUUGAAACAUUUUUGUAACAAUGAUCCUUUUUAUUUAUUGUUUCACAAAAGUGAUCAGAGUAAAUCAGAUUGUAGGUACCUAGCCUCUUUGUAGCAUGAAAAUAUGUGCAAGAUAAUAUUUUAUUUUUCUAUUAAUCAGAUUAAAAUAGUGUUAAAUGUUUAUUUUAUCUUCUGACUUAAGUGUUAUGCAUACAUUAUUUUUUUAACAAUUACUACUCUUUUUUUAAAUCAGUAAAAUUGGUAUUUAAGUAUUUUGCCUUUCUCAUGUUCACCCAAGUAUGAUGAUUUUCUAUAGUGUAAAAAAAAAAAACAUAAAACCACAUAUUUUCACUGAAAAUGUAUUUCUUUUUUAUUUCUUUUUAACUAGACUACACCACUCUACUGCAAAGUGAACCUUAGUCUCCCAAUCCUGGAGCGUUUUUUCAACAACGAAGACCAAAAACCAGACUUCCGGCUGAGCAGGAACUCUCUUACAAUCCUCCUGAACCUCCUUGAUCAGGAUCGGCGACAUGGAUGGGGUGCUGUAAUUGAGACCCUGGUUUUUCUUUUCUGGUUGGCGAGCGGAGCAUCCUACAGGGUGGUCUCCAGAGUGGUUGGGAUGCCCCCGUCCCACUGUCCACUGCAUCGUCGACAGACUCACAGAGGAGGUGGUGGCCAUCCGCCAUAAGGUCAUUCACCUUCCGAAAACCCCCGGGGACCUGGAGGUGGUGUCCCGUGGGUUUGCAGGGCUGGCACGGCACAGAGCUUUCCUCAAAGCUGCAGGUGCCAUCGACGGAUGCCACAUCAGAAUCAAGCCUCCUAGCGGCCCCGAUGGACACUGCUACAGAAACAGAAAACUGUUCCCCUCCAUCAUCCUGCAGGCUGUGUGUGACCAUCGGGCUGCUUCAUCGACACCUAUGUGGGCUGGCCUGGGUCGGUGCAUGACUUGAGGGUGCUCCGCCACAGCCCACUAUACAGGCAGACGGUCUACCCUCCUCCAGGGCACUUCAUCCUAGCAGAUGGUGGAUACCCGUGUCUCCAACGCCCACUCCCCCUCAUCACUCCCUACAAGCGUGUGAACGAAGGUGUUGCAGCCCAGCGCUUCAACAGUCAUCAUUCCAGGGCACGCUCGAUUAUAGAGCGUGCUUUUGGAAUGAUGAAGACAAGAUUCAGGGCAAUCUUCCUGCAAGCGCUGGAGGUGCAUCACACCUUUAUACCUCACGUUGUCACAGCUUGUGCCAUCCUCCAUAACAUCUGCCUUUGUGCUGGCGAUGCUGUGGCCCCAGAGGAUGAGCCAGAGGAAGAUGUGGGAGAUGAUGAGGGGGAGCCUGGUUUGGAGGCAAGCAGCGGUGCUCUCUGGCGGGACCAACUUUCUGCUGAGGUUUCUGCCCUGGAGGAGGUACCACCAGACCAUGAUUACUGGUUAACAGGUAAUUAAAGAAGACAGUUAUUUAUCAAGUUUUUCUUUUUAAAUUAAAUAAUAUUAAGAUUGCUCAUGUAGUAGCUCAUUUCUGUAUUAAUGGAUUAUUUUUGGUCAUGCAGCAUCCGUCGACAGCCAGCCCUGCAAACCCUGAAGAUGGACGAUGCAGUGGACAGUUGAGAGGCAUCCUGAAACUCCAGACCCCCUGCAAGAUGUUCCAGUUGGCACCUAGAAAGUUCCAGUCCCGGGUCUCAGUUGAAGCCCCCCAUCCAUGUCGACCAUCUUUGUAAAUAGUUAUUAAUAAAAGUGUUAAAAUGAAUUCAUGACGACUGUUUUUUUGGAUUUAUUCCUUUAUUUAUAUUAUCAAUUUCUUAAACAUUUCAACACAACAACUGAAAAGUCUGUCGAAGGUCUCCCUCCUCUCUCUUGAUCUUUGCUCUUCUGCCUCUCUCUGCUGCCUCAUGUUCUCUCUGAAUAAUUCUAGAAGUUCGUCACCGUCCCUUCUUCUUUUUCUUACAGCUGGUGGCUCUCUCCUUUCUUCCUCUCUGUCUUCAUUUUGCUCUCUUUCACCCACUGCUGUACUUGUCCCUGGAGUUUCCUCACGGAGAGAGGAAAUUAGGACAGGAGGAGUGGUGGAAGGUCUCUGUCCUACUACAUCAUCCAUGAGGUCAAACCAGGGCCAAGUAGCAGCAGUGGGCUUCCCACCAACCCCCUCUCCUGAUCCUGGAUUACAAUCCUAAACACACACAAAAAUCACGACAUUUGGAAAGAAAAGAUACAAACCUUUUAUUACAUGUAUAUUUAACGUGUAUCAAACAUAUAUUCUUCACCACAUAUCAACAUACUUUGUAUUUUUUCUUCAGGUUGUCCCACUUUUUCUUCGCUUGCAUGGGGGAAACGUUCUCCUGAAGUCCCAGUUUCUCCAGGAUAGUCCUGAAAAAAAAACACCAGAGGGUGGGAUAACGGGGUUACUCUCAAAAAACGUUUCACAUCAAUAAAUAACAGGCACUUAUGUCUAAUGAGAGAAAAAAAAAAAAGUUGUUUUACCUCCAUGCUACUGCUGCGGAAUAUUUCGCGCCGGUAAAAAGGUGGUCAUGUUCCCUCCUAAGCUUUAUUAAAGCUUUGGUCUGCUCUUUGGUCCCUAAAAAGAUAUGAAAUUAAGCUUGUUUUUUUUUUUCUUUAAAAAAUUAAAUUACAUAUCCGUAAAAAAACAAAAACCCAUGAACAAUUGGGAAACCGCGCCAGAAUCUAGUAUAUGACCCGAAAGUGUUAAAAAAUGACUUUUAUUGUAAUAUUUAAGAUCAAAAUAUGCUUUACAUGCUUUAUUUAAUUUUAUAAACCAUAAACUUAUCAGAUUAAAGUUUUCACUUAAAUUUAAAAGUGAAAUUUUCACCGACUCCGCGUCCCGCAUCAACGUCCGCCAUUGUUGCCAGAAAAAAUCUUCGGGGCCGACCGCAAUGCAUCUUGGGAUACGAUCAGCAUAGCAGGAUACACCAGAACGAUCCUUCGAUUCAAGAUGACGUUCUGAUCGGUCCUUCCUGCAACGCUCUGCACCCACUUGAGUUAAAAAACUUGUGAAAUACUCUUUCAAAACUGUCCUUUGUUUACUUUACUCGAAUUUUCGAACAUUUCCAAAGAUUUUGAGGCCAACAUGGUUAAAAAGCGUGACCAUUCGGCUGUGAUUGACUCAGAGGAUUUUCGUGCGCGAGAUGGCGCGCUAGCUAGCGGCGGCCACGACUACUCGAGAGACCCAAACGCCAUGGAGUCUGGUGACUUUGAAGAGGAAUUCCCGCCGCUUCCUUUAACUCCAAGUAAGCCACCGGUGCCAAAAAAGAAACCUCAAAAUCCUGCCCUCUCAAAUGGCGACAUUAGUACGCAGCUUGCUAACUUGACCAAGUUAAUUAACAACAGGUCGGAUGCUAUUGAAGAUAAAAUAGUUGGCCUUAACAACAAAGUGGAUGCUGUGGCAAAAGACCUGACGGGUGUUACCUUGAAGAUGGCUGCUCUUGAGCAACGGAUGGAUUCUCUUGAGACGCCAGUUAAACUCUUACAGAAGUGAAUGGAUGAUUUUGAAUCUUACUCAAGAAAAUUCAAUCUAAAGCUUGUGGGAGUUCCUGAAACGGAAAAGGAAGACAUCCGCCAUGUUGUUAUCAAGAUCUGUCAGAUCGUCCUACCAUCAUGGAAAGAAAAGUUGGUGGAUGCUGUGGAUAGUGUUCAUCGGCUUGGGAACAUGAGACAGCCCAUGGAGUUUUAUGUUUUUCACAAAGAAAUGGUUUUGUAUAUUAAAAAUAUUGAAUCCUGUACCCAUGCAAAAGCUGUUAAAACAGUUGAAGCCUGGAACUGUUUGACAUCUUAAUUUUAUAUAUAUAUAUAUAUUUUAAUCUUUAUUAUUAUUUAUUUAUUUUAUUUUUUUCCUUUCUUUUUCCUUCCUUUUGAUACCCCCUGGCAAGUUCAAAUUCAUUAUCUGUAAUUCUCAAUAUUGGCUCAUUACAUGGAAUGGAAUGUAAUGUGUGAUUCUUUGUAUGCGCAACAUUUGGUAAUAAAAAAAAAACAAAA